UAGUUGCAUCAAAUACCAUCAGACCAAUAAUGAUUUUUUGCUUCUUAUAGGCAUUGAGCAUCUCCCCCAUUGUGUAAUAUUCCUCAGAUCAUCAAACACCAAACUAGAUGUGGUAAACUGAAUUACAAUCAUCCAAACUGAAAGGAUGAAGAACGUUAGUCAGUACAUUGGUUCUUUAAUGCUGUGUUGUUUCAAACAAAACAUCAAAUAUUUCAUGUAGUAGAAAUGACACUCACUUGCAAUAAUGCCCAAACACUUCUGAGAGGAAAAACAACCGUUUUUCUGAGAAAAAAAUGGGAUAAACCAAAUGAGUAAUAUAAAAUGUUCACAUAACCCCAAAUUUGGCUACCCAUAAAAUAAUUAUAUUUUCAGCAUUCUUUUGGCAUAUAUGCAUAUUAUACUUGAAAUUAUCCAAUUCAUUUUUGAGAAAUCAUAUUCCAAUUCCAAUUCUAUAAGGGUUUGGGUGUCACCUAUUAAAAUCAUCAAGAUCUAAUGAACAGAAGGCUGUAUUUUGGAAAGUCCAAUGCUCUGACUAAUCCAGUUACAUAAAUUAUCAUCUUUUUUUGCCAAUGGUAAGGUAUCAUGGGGAUCUUGAGAAUGAUCUAUUUUCAAACAUAUUAUUAUAUAUUACAAUCCGUGAUUUUCCAAAAUGAAACAUACUUAAAAAGAAAAUAUUAAAAUUAUUCUUUUCUUCAUAUCCUCACAAUUUUUUCCCUUCCUUCCUAGGGUCAAAUCUUUGAUUUUGGAAACUCAACAUUAAAUGGGUAAAACAUGGCCAUGAGCACUUUUGGGGAAGGUAAGUGUGGCAGUAAUGGUUCUGAAACUCCCCAGUUAGAGUCUGUGCUGUGAGAAUUACCUGCCGGGGAGGCGUUCUCAGGGC